AUAACACAGCAACUGAAUGACAAAAAUUCAAUAAUUUUUCACCCUUCGACCGAGAUGACGUGGGGAGAAGCAUAUAAUUAAAGGUAAGAAAAGCCCCCCCAAAUUUGCAAUUAACUCUCCCUAGAAUCUAUAGUCGAUUCCCGCUCUUUUUCUUUACUAGGUUUUUCUUCUAUGUGUUAAUAGCUGCUACCCAUCGGUGGCAUGCCGAAAGGUGGCAUUGGAGGCAUGCCCAAUCCGCCCAUUGGUGGUGGUGCAGGCGCAAAGCCUGGCAUUCCUGGUCCUCCUCCCAUACCCGGCAUAGGUGGUGCAG
rnacentral:misc_RNA from 1 species